rnacentral:rRNA from 1 species
AGUGAACGCUGGCGGUAGGCCUAACACAUGCAAGUCGAACGGCAGCACAGUAAGAGCUUGCUCUUACGGGUGGCGAGUGGCGGACGGGUGAGGAAUACAUCGGAAUCUACUUUUUCGUGGGGGAUAACGUAGGGAAACUUACGCUAAUACCGCAUACGACCUACGGGUGAAAGCAGGGGAUCUUCGGACCUUGCGCGAUUGAAUGAGCCGAUGUCGGAUUAGCUAGUUGGCGGGGUAAAGGCCCACCAAGGCGACGAUCCGUAGCUGGUCUGAGAGGAUGAUCCGCCACACUGGAAAUGAGACACCGUCCAGGCCCCUACGGGAGGCAACAAGGGGGAAUUUUGGAAAAUGGGCGCAAGCCUGAUCCAACCAUAACGGGUGGGUUGAGGAAGCCUUCCGGGUGUAAAGCCCUUUUGUUGGGAAAGAAAAGCAGCAGGUUAAUACCCCGCUGUUCUGACGGUACCCAAAGAAUAAGCACCGGCUAACUUCGU